AGAGGAGGAGCGUAUUGGGGAUGAAGAGGACAUAGUACCACCCUCUAAGAAAAAGACAGCUGCUGAAUUUAGAAAACACCUGGACGAACAGAUGUGGGAGAGAAGGAAACUCAACCAAAGUUGAGAAAUGAAGUCCAUUCUCUUAAAAAUGAAAAUGCACGUCUGAAUGACAUUAUCAUCAAUCAAAUCCCUCAAAUGAAAAGUGACCUCGCCAUUAUUGCUCAAAAGACUGGAAGGACUCCUGUGGAGGAUCUUGAUUCCUCCUCGACUUUUGGAGAAGUGCAACCGUGAUGGACCUGAUGGGCUGACAGCUGCCGACAUAGUGUCAAAUCUGUCACAUAAUCUUAACAAAACAUCCUGUAGCAGAUUUAACAUUAACCAGGCGAAUGUCUGGGAUGGUGCCUGAAGAGGUUUCAGGAGAUCCUGGUUUGACCCCACCUGCAGCUUAAUGGUGAAAUUCACAGAUGAUGCUGGGCUGAUGGAAGAGGCUUUAGACAGUGGGGGGCUACUCCAGAAUUUCGGACUCUGUUGAUGGACACCAU